GAACACAAAAUGGCGACACGUGGUUAGCAUUCGUCGCCAACGAGAAAUUGGGGUCGGCCCGAAAGCUCUAGAAUGCACCCCUCUUCCUCCCCGGGGCCUUCCACCUCCGCGAGUUUUAUGACUUAAAAAAGCCCACAGGCUGGUCUGAAGGUCGGAGGCCUAAUUUUAACGCGUUUUCCUCCCUUUAAUUUGAAACGGGAACGCGAAUGACUGUAAAAUGUGGGCACAAUAUUUAAUCUCUCGCCUUUUUAAAGCUUAAUAGUGGAUAAUAGGGGGGCAGUAUCAAGGGAUAAUUUGGGUCCCCACAGUACCAAAGCAUUUAGAAACCUCUGUUUAAUUUAAGGAAUGAGAUAAGUUACUGCUUUUCUAGACUUCCUAGCAUGGGCUGUUGUGCUGGAGAGAACGAGAGCUACGAAGAGACUACAGUGCCUCUGACUUUUUCAUAGGACAGUUGGCCGAGGAAGACAAACAUAAAGAUGAAGUGCUUAAUUCAAGGUCACACAAUGUCGGGGAUGGACCUCCAGAUUUCCUUACUGGUGAGACGUGGUCUUGUAACACAGUGGUUAAGAAUGUGACUUUGGAGCCAGCCUGCUAGGGGCUGAAUUCUGACUCAGCCAUUUACUAACUGUGUGACCUUAGGCUGACAGCUCCCAAAUCUCUAUCUUCAAUCCAGAUGUCUGUCCCGGGCUCCAGUUUUGUGGUUCCACCUGAGACCUUUCCACCUAUAUGCUUUACAGGUCACAGAAUUUUCCACACUCCUUGACAGAGGUGCUUAACCCUUAUCCAUCAGCAUUCUCAGACAGCACCUCCGGUUAGGGACAGUAUCUGACCGUCCGACAUCCCUGCAGCCCCCAUGUGUCACACAGACUCAGCCUCAGGUAGAUGGUUUCCGUAGAUGGUGGCUUUCUUUGGACCCUUGACAUCAACCAGUUACUAUUUGACUCUUCUGCAGAACCCCAUGUUGACCCCUGCUUUGAGGUGGCAGAGUUAACACUACUCUUCGUUAUAAGCUCUCGUCUGGGGCAACUCAGAAGAACCUCAGCAAGGCCCACAUUUUCCCGGUGAAGCCACAGAACCACAGGGAGAAACCCAUGGACUUCGCCUCUCUCUCUAGGGGACCAGAUGUGCAGAGGUAAUGAAUACCAGGGAAUCAGGAAACCACUGGAUCAGUUCUUUGAGCCACAGAACAACACUCAUCCCAGCAGCUGGGAAGCUAUCUGCAAAAGUCCAUCUGCAGAAAGGGCUUCCUGGUCUUGCGUGUGGCUGGGCCAUUUCUCUGGAUGCAGGUUUUUCAUUAUACAGUCUUCUCAAAGAACCACCUGCUCUCAACACC
rnacentral:lncRNA from 1 species